rnacentral:rRNA from 1 species
UACGUAGGGUGCAAGCGUUGCCCGGAUUUAUUGGGCGUAAAGGGCGCGUAGGCGGCCACCGCAAGUCGACUGUGAAAUCUCCGGGCUUAACCCGGAAAGGUCAGCCGAUACUGCGGGGCUAGAGUGCAGAAGGGGCAACUGGAAUUCUCGGUGUAGCGGUGAAAUGCGUAGAUAUCGAGAGGAACACCUGCGGCGAAGGCGGGUUGCUGGGCUGACACUGACGCUGAGGCGCGAAAGCUAGGGGAGCGAACGGG